UACGUAGGGUGCGAGGCGUUGUCCGGAAUUUAUUGGGCGUAAAGAGCUCGUAGGCGGUCUGUCGCGUCGGCUGUGAAAACCCGGAGCUCAACUCCGGGCCUGCAGUCGAGUACGGGCAGACUGGAGUUCGGCAGGGGAGACUGGAAUUCCUGGUGUAGCGGUGAAAUGCGCAGAUAUCAGGAGGAACACCGGUGGCGAAAGCGGCUCACUGGACCAUAACUGACGCUGAUGCACGGAAAGCUAGGGGAGCAAACAGG
rnacentral:rRNA from 1 species